UCGUGUGAGUUUACAAACCACUCGUUUCGAGGACAAUCUGUUUUUUUUUUGUAAAGUUUCCAAUUACCUAAAUAUUUACUAAUGUCAAAAUGUGAUUAUGUUUGUGUGUUACUUUUGGCGUUUUAACGGCUCUAUUUAUCAUCAUAAAAUUUAUACUAUUUCGCGUGAAGAAUAACAGCGGCGGUUUAGGUCUACUCGUCGGUGCGUCGGAGUCGGUUGGCCCUUCUUUUGGGGACAUCGGUGACAGCGGUGUGGCGGCGUGGUCGCGGUACAAUCGCAGUCGCACCUCCGAGCCGCAUGCACGCAGAAACGCGACGGCCUCCCCAUGCGACAUGUUCGACAUUGAAGUGUCGUUGACCUGUGUGUUUGUUUUGUGAGGUCAAUACACGACGGAUGUCUCGCGAGAUGAAUUACCCACCUUUUAUGUCAUAGGCUGUAUCCUGCCGUCGCUGAGCGCCGGCUCCCGAACUAGCGCUCGCACGUAAUGCCCGAGCGCGCUGUGGUCCUCCUUGCGUAACGUGAAUCCAAGCGAGCCGUUCACCUUAGUCAUGACUAUGUCGAAUUCCUGC